UACGGAGGGUGCGAGCGUUUGUCCGGAAUCAUUGGGCGUAAAGGGCGCGUAGGUGGCCCGGUCAGUCCGUGGUGAAAGCGCGGGGCUCAACCCCGCGUCGGCCAUGGAUACUGCUGGGCUGGAGCACUGUAGAGGCAGGCGGAAUUCCGGGUGUAGCGGUGGAAUGCGUAGAGAUCCGGAAGAACACCGGUGGCGAAGGCGGCCUGCUGGGCAGUUGCUGACACUGAGGCGCGACAGCGUGGGGAGCAAACAGGG
rnacentral:rRNA from 1 species